GGUCGCAUAACUCAGUGGUAGAGUGCUACCUUGACAUGGUAGUGGUCACAAGUUCAAAUCUUGUUGCGACCA
rnacentral:tRNA from 1 species